AUUGAACGCUGGCGGCAGGCCUAACACAUGCAAGUCGAACGGUAACAGGAAGCAGCUUGCUGCUUUGCUGACGAGUGGCGGACGGGUGAGUAAUGUCUGGGAAACUGCCUGAUGGAGGGGGAUAACUACUGGAAACGGUAGCUAAUACCGCAUAACGUCGCAAGACCAAAGAGGGGGACCUUAGGGCCUCUUGCCAUCGGAUGUGCCCAGAUGGGAUUAGCUAGUAGGUGGGGUAACGGCUCACCUAGGCGACGAUCCCUAGCUGGUCUGAGAGGAUGACCAGGCACAGUGGAAAGUAGACAAGGUCCAGACGCCUACGGGAGGCAGCAGUGGGGAAUAUUGCACAAUGGGCGCAAGCCUGAUGCAGCCAUGCCGCGGGGAUGAAGAAGGCCUUCGGGUUGUAAAGUACUUGCAGCGGGGAGGAAGGGAGUAAAGUUAAUACCUUUGCUCAUUGACGUUAACCGCAGAAGAAGCACCGGCUAACUCCGGG
rnacentral:rRNA from 1 species